rnacentral:rRNA from 1 species
UGGGGAAUAUUGCACAAUGGGCGCAAGCCUGAUGCAGCAACGCCGCGUGAGUGAUGAAGGCCUUCGGGUCGUAAAACUCUGUCCUAAGGGAAGAUAAUGACGGUACCUUAGGAGGAAGCCCCGGCUAACUACGUGCCAGCAGCCGCGGUAAUACGUAGGGGGCAAGCGUUAUCCGGAUUUACUGGGUGUAAAGGGAGCGUAGGCGGCAAGACAAGUCUGAUGUGAAAGCCCGGGGCUCAACCCCGGGACUGCAUUGGAAACUGUUUAGCUAGAGUGUCGGAGAGGUAAGUGGAAUUCCUAGUGUAGCGGUGAAAUGCGUAGAUAUUAGGAGGAACAUCAGUGGAGAAGGCGACUUACUGGACGAUAACUGACACUGAGGCACGAAAGCGUGGGGAGCAAACAGG